rnacentral:rRNA from 1 species
UCUCCCUACGGGGGGCAGCAGUGAGGAAUAUUGGUCAAUGGGCGGGAGCCUGAACCAGCCAAGUCGCGUGAGGGAAGACGGUCCUAUGGAUUGUAAACCUCUUUAGGCGGGGAGCAAUGCCGGGCACGCGUGCCCGGAGGGAGAGUACCCGCAGAAUAAGCAUCGGCUAACUCCGUGCCAGCAGCCGCGGUAAUACGGAGGAUGCGAGCGUUAUCCGGAUUUAUUGGGUUUAAAGGGUGCGUAGGCGGACUGUCAAGUCAGCGGUAAAAUACGGGGGCUCAACCUCCGCCCGCCGUUGAAACUGA